rnacentral:rRNA from 1 species
CCUACGUGGGGCAGCAGUGGGGAAUAUUGCGCAAUGGGCGAAAGCCUGACGCAGCGACGCCGCGUGAGGGAUGAAGGUCUUCGGAUCGUAAACCUCUGUCAGCAGGGAAGAACGGUCACUGUGCUAAUCAGCAGUGAAUUGACGGUACCUGCAAAGGAAGCACCGGCUAACUCCGUGCCAGCAGCCGCGGUAAUACGGAGGGUGCGAGCGUUAAUCGGAAUUACUGGGCGUAAAGCGCUCGUAGGCGGUAUGUCAAGUCAAGGGUGAAAUCCCCGGGCUCAACGUGGGAACUGCCUGUGAAACUGGCAAACUGGAGUGUGUGAGGGGAUAGUGGAAUUCCAGGUGUAGGAGUGAAAUCCGUAGAUAUCUGGAGGAACAUCAGUGGCGAAGGCGACUAUCUGGCACAUAACUGACGCUGAGGAGCGAAAGCGUGGGUAGCAAACAGGAUUAGAUACCCCAGUAGUC